UACAGAGGUGGCAAGCGUUGUUCGGAAUUACUGGGCGUAAAGGGCGCGUAGGCGGCCUCCUAAGUCAGACGUGGAAUCCCCCGGCUUAACCUGGGAACUGCGUCUGAUACUGGGAGGCUAGAGUGCGGGAGAGGGAUGCGGAAUUCCAGGUGUAGCGGUGAAAUGCGUAGAUAUCUGGAGGAACACCGGUGGCGAAGGCGGCAUCCUGGACCGACACUGACGCUGAGGCGCGAAAGCUAGGGUAGCAAACGGG
rnacentral:rRNA from 1 species